CUUCCCCCCAUCUCUUCCCAUGGUGUCAUUCUGCUAAAAAUUUCAUCUUGGGGGGUAUAUUUCUCAUAUUUUAGUUCAUGCCGCCGCCACUAUGUACUAAUCCCACCAUAGCAGCUCAUAGUAUUCUCCAUUGCAAUCCUGUCGUCUAUUUGUAUUUGUUUUUUGUUUGUUAGUAUUAGGGUGCUUUUGGGUUUGGGGUUUCUGCCAUUGACGGUUACCUGAAGAGCUCUCGAUGAAGCGGUUCUUUUUUAUUUUAUUUUAUUUUCGGUGCCUAGUGAAAUACAGUGGUGGUUUUGAAUCAUUCCUGGGAGUUCCCUGGUGGUUUUGACUGAUCAAAACGCUACAUUUUUUUUAUGUUUAUGUUCCCUGUUGUUGUUUCUUGCCCAAAUGCAGAUUCACUCUUGCAUUUGUUUCUCUUGAUUUCCUCUGCUGUUUUGCUCUACAAGGACAGAGGACUUAGUCUGCUUGUUCGUCAGCCUUGCAGGAAAAAAAAUGCAGUAAAAAACCUGUCUAUUGCGAUUACUUUGUGUUCAUCUUGGGGCGCUCUUAUUAUGCGUGGGAAUCACCAGCAGAGUUCAUCCGAUUUGAUGCGCGCAUCUCUAAUUCCCAUCUUUUGCAGCAUUGCAAAAGCUGCUGCCUUUUAGCUUUUGCGCUUUCUUAAUUAGGAGGGGUUGUACGGCGCCCCUGUUGGACCUGAUUACUUCCACAGUAAUUGCAUCAUGACAUUUUAUUCCUUUUUAAUCGUUUCCUUUUGCUAAUCUUUUUAAGUACAAAUGGAGUUUCCCCCCAAAAAAAUAUUGCAAAUGGAGUUUUUUUUUCCCCUUCUCCUCUCGCCUUUUGCUGUUUCAGGUUUCGUAUGUUAUCUUCACAUCAAUGCAGCCUUUAAUUGCAGCAGACCACCCUUCUUUGCUACUAGUAUGGGAAAAAAAAAUCAGAGCCACACGAACUGUGGGUAUUUGCUAUGGGAACUUCACAAGUUCGCCAGCAAUACAACUUGAAUGCGUCCUGAAGAUCUAGAUUCCGCAGGUCAAAUCGUCGAAUUUCAGAGCUAGUAGUACUGUAGGCUUGCCUGGUGCAACUGUGGGUUAUGCUUCAAUAGCCUUUAACUGUGGGUUAAUGUGUAGAGUAUAUGUCAAAUACAGAAUUUUUACUUGAAGAAGAUGUGUUUAUUUUCAGAUGUGUUGGACCAUUUCAUGUUGUCCACUUGUAGGUACUUUCGUGGCCUAAGUAGUACAUUAUUCAGUUGUUAGUUAUUUGUCUCACUGAAUGCAAGUGUAUCUUUAGUAAGAGUUGGACUGCAUUGUACUUGUUUUAAUCUUCUUGAAGGCCAGUAAGAAUUUGUACUCUAAUACAAAAUUGUGGAAAUUUUACAGAUAAUAAGCUGCUAAGAAUUAUCACCAUGGAGGUCAAUGGUCAUCACAAACCAAGAAGAGAAUAUAAUGGCCGAGAGUGCAAUGGUGUACAAUCAGUAAACAAUUUUGGCGAUAUCGAUCCAUGGACAGCAUGGGCAUACAAACCGCGCACAGUUUCAUUGCUACUGAUGGGAACAUGCUUUUUAAUUUGGGCAAGUGGUGCUCUUGAUCCAGAAAGAAGCUUCUCUGUUGACCGCGUUUCAUCUGUUAAAAGGGGUGUCUUUGCAAUGAUUGCUGUUUUUUUGGCUUAUUCAUUUCUUCAGGCACCUUCUACUGUACUUAUUAGACCACAUCCUGCCAUUUGGCGGCUGGUCCACGGGAUGGCAGUUGUUUACCUUGUUGCUCUAACUUUUUUGCUUUUCCAGACCCGUGAUGAUGCUAGGCAAUUUAUGAAGUAUCUUCACCCUGAUCUUGGUGUUGAAUUACCUGAAAGAUCUUAUGGAACCGACUGCCGCAUAUAUGUACCUGAUCAUCCGAAAAGCAGGUUUCUCUAGGAGAUCCUUUUUGAUGAGUUUGUUAUUGCCCAUAUCCUUGGAUGGUGGGGGAAGGCUAUAAUGAUAAGAAACCAACCACUUUUAUGGGUAUUAUCAAUUGGCUUUGAGCUAAUGGAGCUCACCUUUCGCCAUAUGCUGCCAAACUUUAAUGAGUGUUGGUGGGAUAGCAUCGUACUAGACAUAUUAAUCUGCAAUUGGUUUGGUAUUUGGGCUGGAAUGAAGACUGUGAGAUACUUUGAUGGGAGGACAUAUGAAUGGGUUGGUUUGAGUCGUCAACCCAAUAUUAUCAGUAAGGUAAAAAGGACGCUAGGCCAGUUCACACCAGCACAGUGGGACAAAGAUGAGUGGUACCCUCUGCUUGGCCCUUGGAGAUUCAUCCAGGUGCUGAGCCUAUGUAUUGUUUUCAUGAUUGUUGAACUUAACACAUUCUUUCUCAAGUUCUGCCUUUGGAUUCCUCCCCGAAACCCCUUGAUUGUUUACCGACUUGUCCUUUGGUGGUUAAUUGCGAUACCAACCAUUCGCGAGUACAAUACAUACUUACAAGACAGGAAACCUGUUAAAAAGGUGGGGUCUUUCUGUUGGCUUUCCCUAGCUAUUUGCAUUUUGGAGCUUCUACUAUGCAUCAAGUUUGGACAUGGUCUCUUUCCGAAGUCGAUGCCGUCAUGGUUGUUCAUAGCCUGGACGACCGUGGCGUCGCUUCUGAUGAUGUUCCUUCUUGUGUGGACUUGGAAAAUUUACCGAACAAUGAUAAGGAAAAGGCUAUGAUUCUUCUGUUGCUUUGCUCUCAAUUCUUUCCUCCUCCAUUCAAUAUUGUCGUGUAAAUAUUCAUUCAAAAAAAUCUGUACAUGUGGUAGUAGCCAUUAAUUUGGUGGUCUCGAGAAGGAUCAUCAUAAGGAAUUUUAUGUCUUUGCCUUUGUAUUCCAUGAGCCAAAAUGGCAUUCCCUUUUCCUUCCUGUGAUGUAACUCUGACAGCCAAACUUUAGUGUUCCUUUGGUCCAAUCUAAUUCCUGGGAAAUAAUGAACCAAGAUUUAUUCUGUUUCUUGAGUUUU